AGAGAGAGGCAGAGAAAGAAGCCGAGAGGAGCCUACCAUGCGCUUCCCCCGUGCAAACCGAGGGAGAACCCAAUCACAGGGCCAUCCGGACCGAGCUGUGAUCAUUUAUAAUCCUUGACUGAACCUCUCCACCAUUUGUCAAGAUGACAGACUGCUCAUUUGAGGACGUGUCCAAACUGUCUCAAGUUCACACCGUCUGCUAGUUUUGAACACCGAGUCACUGUUACUAUGUGGAACGGUUCGCUGGUUUCCCCCGAUUCCAACAUCUGUCACCUUUUCGGUUCAGUGACGAGGGGCUUGGCGGCCUCUCCAGGCUAGGGAUUGGCCUGGGACUGAGUUAACAGCUUGCUUCCUGCUCCCCUCAGAAAACACUGGGGCUACACGGUCUGUCACCUCGCAGCCUGACUUUCUGUGCAUGGUUUGCAUGUCAGAGCACUCCUGCAGGUCACCCAGGUAGCAGAUCCUCAGAGGAAUCCAGCAGACAACCUCCCGACUUCCUAAGUAUCCUUUCCCAUCAUUACAUCUGCUAUAGCUAGCUGGAGUGCCUCUCUGGUUUAGCUGGGUAAGUGUCAGACACUGCAGCCAGUGCACCAUUUCCAUUGCCUUGUCUCACAGACUAUGACCAGCCUGCCAGUUAGGUUCCAGAGAGUGCUGGCAAGUGUGGACCAGGGAUAGUAUUGGGACAAAGCCAGACUGAGUCCUUUCCCGCCAGCCCCCAAAAGAAAAGACUCAGUGAAGCCAGAAAUACAUACCUCUGUGUAACACCCACGAUGAUGGGAACCACUGAGAGAUGGGGCAACUUGCCAAAAAAGAGAUUAGAGAUCUGUGGUAGCUGGGGAUGUUCCCAACCAAGUUUGAGGCACUAGUCAAUGUUGCAGUUAAAAAGUCCCUCCUCAAGAAGCAAGGCACAGAUAUGGAAAAAUGUGAACAACCAGAAUACAUUGGAAUGGAAAUCUCUCCCAUAAAGCCCUCACACAUUGCUUCAGUUUACUGUCAGUGUUUAUUUUUUUUUUCGAUGCCAAAAAUAAGUCAAGUUAUUUUCUUUGGACGUUGAAUUGUUGCAAAACUGUAAAACAAAUAUUCUAAUUUGAUCGCUGACAAAGUCAUAAAAUUAAACGGUUGUUUGUAGUGGGAAAUAUGUCCUAAUUACUUUAAUUAAAGCAAGAUUGGACCCUCAAACAUUCAUUUAGGAGCCACAAAAUGUACUGCCUAUCAUACAAAUCAACCUUUAAACGGGGUCAUGCCUUUCCACGACAUUAGUUUGUGUUCCACUGCAUAAACCCCGACUACACGUGAGCCUGACCUUUGGUGAAAAUUAUGUACCCCAGCUCAGCAUAACUACUGACAUGAUUUGCUAGAAUUUUAGGAAAAAAAACCUUUAAAGUCCGCAAAGGAUUUUGAAUACAAAGGGAUCUUUUCACUUCUUGCUACUACUUAAACUUGCUGCUACUGAUUGAGGCGAAUUUCUGGGUUUAGAAACCACCACAUUAUCUUCUCCUAAUCAUGUGACACUCAUAAUUAGUCCAUUAUAUGGAGUACCUUUAAAGUGUGGCAUCUGCUCUACCAACAGGAUUUAGUAAGAAGUUUGCUGAAGGCUUAACCUGUUUGUUGUUGGCAAGGAUUUGCAAACUUGAACUGGGACAAAAUUUUCUAGCAAUAUAGUUUUAGAGAGCUAACCACAAGCCCUCCACAUAGAGAACCUUCAGUUUGUCAGGGCACAAUCUACGAUCUGUCUCAUAGUCACAAAUGCCACUUGCCAGGCAGACAUGAAAUUUUUGCGCAGAAUAAGAUUUUAAUUAUGCUCAGUUAUUUUUGGCUGUCUUUUCAAGGAAAAAAAUUAUUGUAAAUAAGGCUUAUAUUAAUAAACUUAUUAAACUUUAAAAAAAAUUUGCCUCUCCCCUUCUCCAGAUAUACUCAUCCCUACAAUUUUUGAUUGGAAUAUUUGAAAAAUUUUAAACAUCAUUACAAGCCUAGAUAACUAUUUUGUUACCUAUUUUAACUUACUUGAAUUUCCCUAUAAAUAUUAUUUGAAAAACACAAACAAAAAUAUAAAACUAGUGGGAAAAGAUAAAAAAAAGUUUAGGAAACAAAAAUCAACAAAACGUACUACAGUUAAAGUUUGAAAAAUAUGCCACUAAUUCAAAAUUUGGAGAAAGUUGCUAUUAAAUCGACACAUUCAGAUGCUAAUUACUUCUUACAUGAAAUGCAUAAAACUUUUUAUUAAAAGAAUUGGGGUUACCCAAAUUUUCUUUCAAGUUUUGUUGAUAAAAAUUGGAAGGCUCAAGAAGUCUGGGUUUUUUUUUUUAACUUCUCAAAGACGAGAGUUCAGCUGGUAUUGGGGAAAACAAUCUCUGUUUGUUCCUCUCUGCUCAGGAGGACUGUUUCUAAUUGAUCUGGCAUGGAAUUUAGUUGGAGAUGUGUAUGUUGCAACCUAAGCACAGUCUCUGUAUGCUUUGUAAAGUGAUAACCAUAUGGGCCUUAUUUGAAACAUUUGAGGAUUUUAGCCAUUAACCUGAGUUAAACUGAGCCAUAAAUUGAACUCCAAUGUAUAUGUCCCGACAAAUUCAUCAUCAUUUUGAAUAAGUUGCAUCCAUACUCCUCCUCUUGGAUUAAUAAAGAUGAUGGUUGCAUAUGGCAUGUGGAAUGACUGUGAUAAAGGACUGUAAUCUACCAUUUUGUACUGUUUAAAUGUAAAUUGUUCAUAUUACACAAGCAUUUUCUGUUGUUAGCACUUUCAAUAAAAUGGAAAUGCUUAAAAAUGA